UGGAGGGGGCUUGAGGAGCCCAGACAAAAGUUGAAAUGUAUGUAGUUAUGAAAAUGAAAUAAUACAAAUCAAUCAUCCCACCUUUAUCUUGUCCAGCAUGGUCGUAUCAGGACACCAGUACUGGCUGAACUGGACGAGGUCGGGAGCGGCCCUGUAGUAGUCGACCAGCAGCAUCUUCGGGGGAAAAAACAUUUUUUAAACAAAUUAAUAGGAUUCAUACAAACCAUUACACACAUCUCGAUUUCUCUUCUGUAUUUUCACAGGUCUGAAGCUGCAUUGUCAGUACCAUCUCGUUAAGGACAUCGCUGGUAAGGAAGUUGUCCUGUACGUAGGUGACCUCUACAGCCACUGGGAUGCCGUGGUCAUUGGGCCGUUGCUGCGGGGAGGAGCGUAGAAGAUAUGAAAACUUAGAAGAUAUGAAAACAGAAGUGGAAGCGGCCCCAGCAGUCUAAAGUCCCACACUGACCACAAAUGAUGCCCAGACAGGGCUGGAAGCCGUUGUUUGAGCCCUGCAGCCUCAGCUGAUGGUCCAUCUGGGAGUCGAUGUCCUGCAGCGACGGCAGAGCCGGACCUCGCGGGUGACUGUGGUACCAGCCCACCAACGACAGCCCGCGCAUGAACAGGUUCUGGCAGAUCUGGACGAGAGUAAACGUGACAAUACACUGAACUUUAAAAAAGAAAAGUGGGAGACAUGCUUUACUUCACAUUCACAUUAAGUUAAUACACUAAGACGGUAGUUCGUUCGGGGACUACUGGUUCACAGGAGAGCCUCAGUGAUGAUUUAAAAAUGGAUUAUUCGGAUUGUUUGGAUUGUAUUUUACAAAUCUGGAGAGAAUCAUGAAUUAAAACUCGUAGCCUAUAUUUUGGCACAGGUGCA